rfam:Triticum aestivum genome assembly, contig: Triticum_aestivum_CS42_TGACv1_scaffold_642736_T_7DS-0.206441_1DS-0.122397
CAUAUAAUCCAUCCAUCCGGAAGUACUUGUCAUCAAAAUAAAUAUAAGGAGAUGUAUCUAGAUGUAUUUUAAUUCUAGAUACAUUCUUUUUGUCCAUUUUGAUGACAAAUAUUUUUGAACGGAGGGAGUACUUU